rnacentral:rRNA from 1 species
CGGGAAGAGCUCAAAUUUAUAAUCUGGCACUUUCAGUGUCCGAGUUGUAAUCUCUAGAAGUGUUUUCCGCAUUGGACCGCACACAAGUCUGUUGGAAUACAGCGGCACAGUGGUGAGACCCCCGUAUACGGUGCGGAUGCCCAAUGCUUUGUGAUACACUUUCGAAGAGUCGAGUUGUUUGGGAAUGCAGCUCAAAUUGGGUGGUAAAUUCCAUCUAAAGCUAAAUAUUGGCGAGAGACCGAUAGCGAACAAGUACCGUGAGGGAAAGAUGAAAAGCACUUUGGAAAGAGAGUUAACAGUACGUGAAAUUGUUGGAAGGGAAACGCUUGAAGUCAGACUUGCUAUUCGGGGCUUGCUCCGAGUUGCAGGCCAGCAUCAGUUUUCUGGGGUGGAAAAUCACGGUUAGAAGGUAGCAACUUCGGUUGUGUUAUAGCUUUCCGUUGGAUACAUCCUGGGGGACUGAGGAACGCAGUGUGCUUUUAGCAGGAGCUUCGGCUUCAUCACACUUAGGAUGCUGGUGGAAUGGCUUUAAACGAC